UGCACAAACAUGUGAGGACUAGUAUUGAAAAUAUCCCAUGCUCAUAAUGCAGCAAUGAACCGCGGAUCCAAUUGAAACCAUACACAAACUAACAAGCCAAUUUUAAAACAUAAAGUAGGCAAAUCAGGCGAAAAUUGAGGGCUGUGCGCAAGGGGAGGGAUUUGUCGACAAAUUUCCCCAUUCACACCAACCAUGCGCAUACCCGGCCUGCCAAAACGGGUUGACGCGCGGGUCUUUACACCAUUAAACAGCGCCGCAUUGUUAAUUGGUCAUUUAAGACCUAUCCACUUCUAUUUCAUUCCUCAAACGCAGCCUCCACUUAGAUCAAAAGAAAUUUCAGCCUUUAAAAUCAAUUCUUUAGGGUUUCUUUCACUUCACUGCCAAACUACCAUGAUUUUGGGUGAUUACCAGUAAGCGAGAUGUGCCCAAUCUUGCUGUUAAAGGAGCUCGACCAGAUCUAAAAGGAUUCGGUAUGGAGAAACGGUCGUACGGAGAAAGCCACUCGUGAAAGCCGUGCGUGAGUUCGAUUGCAGCACUGGUGUGUUCUAGAAACCCUUAGGUUUCUGGCAUUUUCAAGCAGUUGGGCCUUUUGGGCCAUUCGUGUAUAGUUUGGGUGUCUACUCAAUUGGGUCAAAAAUGUUGUUGGGCUAAGGAACUUUGGGUACUUGUUUAGGCUAUUAUUUUUAUUUGGGCUAAAUUUAAGAUACGGGUUUAUUAGAAUUGGGUUUUGGGUCAUGGGUUAUUUUGGUAAUUUUUGUAUUUUGAAAAUUGUAAAUGGACUUUUUUAGUCUUGGACCUUAUUCAUUUAUUUGGGUUUAUUUAUUUGCAAAUAAAAUAAA